GAUGAACGCUAGCGGCAGGCCUAAUACAUGCAAGACGAACGGUAAGUUGAGUAGCAAUACUUAGCCAAGAGUGUCGUACGGGUGCGUAACACGUAUGCAACCUACCCUAUACAGGAGGAUAGCCUAGGGAAACCUGGAUUAACCCUUCAUAGUAUUAUUGGAUGGCAUCAUUUGAUAAUUAAAACUGAGGUGGUAUAGGAUGGGCAUGCGUCUGAUUAGUUAGUUGGCGGGGUAAUGGCCCACCAAGACGAUGAUCAGUAGGGGUUCUGAGAGGAAGAUCCCCCACACUGGCACUGAGAUACGGGCCAGACUCCUACGGGAGCAGCAGUAGGGAAUUAUUGGUCAAUGGAUGCAAGUCUGAACCAGCCAUGCCGCGUGCAGGAAGAAGGCCUUCUGGGUUGUAAACUGCUUUUGCCAGGGGGAUAAAAUUUCCAUGCGUGGAAAACUGAAGGUCCU
rnacentral:rRNA from 1 species